AUGCGUAGGGGGCGAGCGUUGUCCGGAAUGAUUGGGCGUAAAGGGCGCGUAGGCGGCGCGGUAAGUCUGGGGUGAAAGUCCUGCUUUCAAGGUGGGAAUUGCUUUGGAUACUGCCGCGCUUGAGUGCAGGAGAGGUUAUCGGAAUUCCCGGUGUAGCGGUGAAAUGCGUAGAGAUCGGGAGGAACACCAGUGGCGAAGGCAGGGAACUGGACUGCAACUGGAGCUGAGGCGCGAAAGUGGGGGGAGCAAAAAGGAUUAGAUUCCCUGGUAGUCCACACUGUUAACGAUGAAUGCUAGGUGUAAGAGGUAUCGACCCCUUUUGUGCCGGAGUCAACCCAAUAAGCAUGCCGCCUGGGGAGUCCGGCCGCAAGGUUGAAUCUGAAAUGAUUUGACGGGG
rnacentral:rRNA from 1 species